rnacentral:miRNA from 1 species
UGUGGCAGCCCUGAGAGCCAGGUG